UACGUAGGGUGCGAGCGUUGUCCGGAAUUAUUGGGCGUAAAGAGCUUGUAGGCGGUCUGUCGCGUCUGCUGUGAAAAUCCGGGGCUCAACCCCGGACUUGCAGUGGGUACGGGCAGACUAGAGUGUGGUAGGGGAGACUGGAAUUCCUGGUGUAGCGGUGAAAUGCGCAGAUAUCAGGAAGAACACCGAUGGCGAAGGCAGCUCUCUGGGACGGUACUGACGCUGAGACGCGAAAGCGUGGGGAGCGAACAGG
rnacentral:rRNA from 1 species